CCUACGGGAGGCAGCAGUAAGGAAUAUUGGGCAAUGGGCGCAAGCCUGAUCCAGCCAUGCCGCGUGAAGGAUUAAGGUCCUCUGGAUUGUAAACUUCUUUUAUAGGGGACGAAAAAAGGGCAUUCUUGCUCACUUGACGGUACCCUAUGAAUAAGCACCGGCUAACUCCGUGCCAGCAGCCGCGGUAAUACGGAGGGUGCAAGCGUUAUCCGGAUUCACUGGGUUUAAAGGGUGCGUAGGCGGGCAGGUAAGUCAGUGGUGAAAUCCUAGAGCUUAACUCUAGAACUGCCAUUGAUACUAUCUGUCUUGAAUAUUGUGGAGGUAAGCGGAAUAUGCCAUGUAGCGGUGAAAUGCUUAGAUAUGACAUAGAACACCUAUUGCGAAGGCAGCUUACUACGCAUAUAUUGACGCUGAGGCACGAAAGCGUGGGGAUCAAACAGGAUUAGAUACCCUGGUAGUCCACGCCCUAAACGAUGGAUACUCGACAUACGCGAUACACUGUGUGUGUCUGAGCGAAAGCAUUAAGUAUCCCACCCUGGGAAGUACGUCCGCAAAGGAUGAAACUUAAAGGAAUUGACGG
rnacentral:rRNA from 1 species